GACGAACGCUGGCGGCGUGCCUAAUACAUGCAAGUAGAACGCUGAAGAGAGGAGCUUGCUCUUCUUGGAUGAGUUGCGAACGGGUGAGUAACGCGUAGGUAACCUGCCUGGUAGCGGGGGAUAACUAUUGGAAACGAUAGCUAAUACCGCAUAAAAUUGAUUAUUGCAUGAUAAUUAAUUGAAAGAUGCAACUGCAUCACUACCAGAUGGACCUGCGUUGUAUUAGCUAGUUGGUGAGGUAACGGCUCACCAAGGCGACGAUACAUAGCCGACCUGAGAGGGGGAUAGGCCACACGGGGACUGGGACGCGGCCCAGACGCCUGCGGGAGGCAGCAGUAGGGAAUCUGAGGCAAUGGGGGGAAACAUGGCCGAGCAACGGCGCGUGAGUGAAGAAGGUUUUCGGAUCGUAAAGCUCUGUUGUAAGAGAAGAACGGGUGUGGGAGUGGAAAGUUCACGCUGUGACGGUAUCGUACCAGAAAGGGACGGCUAACUACGU
rnacentral:rRNA from 1 species